rnacentral:rRNA from 1 species
AUCUUCGGAGAGUUUGAUCCUGGCUCAGAGUGAACGCUGGCGGCGUGCUUAACACAUGCAAGUCGAACGAGAACGGGUCUUAGCUUGCUAAGAUUGUCAGCUA